UGCUCAACGACGAGGACCUGACGCAG
rnacentral:piRNA from 2 species